GACGGAGGGGGCUAGCGUUGUUCGGAAUGACUGGGCGUAAAGGGCGCGUAGGCGGACUGCACAGUCAGGCGUGAAAUUCCUGGGCUUAACCUGGGGACUGCGUCUGAGACGUGUGAUCUAGAGUGAGGAAGAGGGUCGUGGAAUUUCCAGUGUAGAGGUGAAAUUCGUAGAUAUUGGAAAGAACACCGGUGGCGAAGGCGGCGACCUGGUCCUUGACUGACGCUGAGGCGCGAAAGCGUGGGGAGCAAACAGG
rnacentral:rRNA from 1 species